rnacentral:rRNA from 1 species
UACGGGGGGAGCAAGCGUUGUUCGGAUUUACUGGGCGUAAAGGGCGCGUAGGCGGCCAGCACAAGUCAGUUGUGAAAUCUCCGGGCUUAACUCGGAAAGGUCAACUGAUACUGUGCGGCUAGAGUGCAGAAGGGGCAACUGGAAUUCUCGGUGUAGCGGUGAAAUGCGUAGAUAUCGGGAGGAACACCAGUGGCGAAGGCGAGUCUCUGGGAUGAUGCUGACGCUGAUGCGCGAAAGCCAGGGGAGCAAACGGG